UAAAGUGCAUUAUUAGAUUGUUUCUUUGAAGUUUUUGUCCUUUUUUUGAUGUAGGCACUUACACCUGUAAACAUCCCUCUUAGUAUUGCUUUUGCUAUAUCCCAUGGGGUUUGGUAUGUUGUCUUCCCAUUUAUCAUUGGUUUCAAGAAUUUUAAAAAUUUCUUUCUUAAUUCCUUCAUUGACUCACUGGUCAUUCGGGAGCAUAUUGUUUAAUUUCCAUGUAUUUUUAUAGUUUCCAAAAUCCUCUUAUUACUGACUUCUACUUUUAUUCCAUUAUGGUCAAAGAAAAUGCUUGAUAUUAUUUCAUUUUUUUGUAUGUUUUAAGACUUGUUUGUGACCUAACAUAUGAUCUGUCUAUGUGCUGAGGUAAAGCUUGUACAUUCUGCAGCUCUUGGGUAAAAUGUUCUGUAAAUAUCUAUUAGACUCAUUUGUUCUAUAGUGCGGUUUCAGUAUGAUGUUUCUGUGUUGAUUUUCUGUCUGGAAGAUCUGUCCAGUGAUGAACAUGGGGUGUUGAAGUCUCGAACUAUUAUUGUAUUGAGGCCCAUCUCUCUCUUUAGCUCUGAUAAUAUUCCCUCUAUAUAUGUGGGUGCUGCCAUUUUGGGUGUGUAUAUAUUUAAAAUUGCUAUAGCAAUUGCCUUAACUUUUUCCUCAUGCUGUCUAACUUUGUUGUUUCUAUUUAUAUCUUACUGUGUCUUGUAUAUAUUUACUAUGUCUUGUAAAGCUGUUGUGAUUAUUAUUUCUGACUGGUUCAUUAUUUAGUCUUUCUACUUAUGAUAAGAGUAGUUUGCACACCACAAUUACAGUAUUAUACUAUUCUGAGUUUUUCCAGACCUUUUGGAGCUCCAUUGCAUGUUGUUUCUUUUCUCUUGCUGCUUUUAGGAUCCUUUCUUUAUCCUUGAUCCUCAGGAGUUUGAUUAUUAAAUGCCUUGAAAUAUCUUCUUGGGUUAAAUCUGCUUGGUGUUCUGUAGCCUUCUUGUACUUGGAUAUGAUACCUUUCUCUAGGUUGGGGAAGUUCUCUGAUAUCAUCCCUGUGAAUAAAUGUUCUACCCCUAUCUUUUUCUCUACCUUCUCUUUAAGACCAAUAAGUCUUAGAUUUGCCUCAUUUGGGGCUAUUUUGUAGAUCCUGUAGAUCCAUUGUUUUUUUUUUUUUUUCUUUUGUUUCCUCUGGUUUCCUCUGGCUGUUUAUUUUCAAAUAGGCUGUCUUCAUGCUAAUUCUUCUGCUUGAUCCAUUCUGCUACUAAAGGACUCUGGUGCAAUCUCCAGCAUGCCAGUUGUAUUUUUCAGCUCUAGAAUUUUUGCUUGAUUUUUAAUUAUUAUUUCAAUCUCUUUGUUAAAUUUAUCUGAUAGAAUUCUGAAUUCCAUCUCUGUGUUAUCUUGAGUUUCUUUGAGUUUCCUCAACACAGCUAUUUUCAAUUCUGUGUCUGAAAGGUCACAUAUCUCUGUUUCUCCAGAAUGAGUCCCCAGUGCCUUAUUUAGUUCAUUUGGUGAGGUCAUGUUUUCCUGCAUGGUCUUCUUAUUUGUAGAUGUUCAUCUGUGUCUGGGCAUUGAGGAGUUAGGUAUUUAUUAUAUCUUUACUAUCUGGGCUUAUUUGUAGCCAUCCUUCUUGGAAAGGCUUUUCAUGUAUUUGAAAUGACUUGGGUGUCGCAAUCUUUAGGAGGCACCCCAAGCCCAGUAAUGUGGGUUCAUGUAGACUCUUAGAGGUACCACCUAGAUGGUCUUGAAAAAGAUCCAGAAGAAUUCUCUUGAUUACCAGGCAGAGACUCUUGUUCUCUUCCCUUACUUUUUUGCAAACACACGGAGUCAUGGUGUCUCUUCUGAGCCACCUAAAGCCUGGGGGAAGAGUGACACAAGCAGCCCUGUGGCCACCACUGCUAUGACUGCAUUGGGUCAGACCUGAAGCCAGCACAGUGCUGGGUCUUGCCCAAGGUCUGCCUUAACCACUCCUUGACUACUGCCUAUGUUUGCUCAAGGCCCGGGGGCUCUACAGUCAGCAGGUGGCAAAGCCAUCCAGGCCUGUGUCCUUCCCUUCUGGGUGGCAAGUUCUCCCAGUCCCUGGGUGGGUCCAGAAGUGCUGUCUGGGGGUCAGGGACUGGAGUCAAAACCUUAGAAGUCUACCUGCUAUUCUGUUGUACUGUGGCUGAGCUGGCCCUCAAAACACAAGACACAGUCCUUCCUGCUCUUCCCUCCUCUUUCCAAAGGCAGAGAAGCCUCAUGCUGUAGCCAUCACCACCCCAGCCACGAGGAGUACUGCCAGAAACUGAUGUUUCCUUAAGGUCUAGGGUCUCUUAAGUCAGCUUGUGGUGAAUGCUGCCUGGCCUGGGAUUCAUGCUUCAGGGCAGUGGGCUCCCUGUGGACCAGGGCAGGUCCAGAAAUGCCAUCCAAGGGUCAGGUCCUGGAAUCUGGGACCCCAAGAGCUGGCUUGGUGCUCCACCCCUUUGAGGCAGUUUUGGUAGCUGGUUUUCGGUUCUUAUAAAGGUGUUUUUGUUCUGCGUAGAUGUUAACUUGAUGUCCUUGCCUGGGGGUUACCAUCAGUGGAACUUUCUCUUCAGCCAUCUUUCUCCACUUCCUAAUCGAGUAUUCCUUUUAACAUGCAGAAUACUUUAAAAUUCUCAUAUGGAUAAACCGAUUAAUCUUCCCUCUAAACUUCUGCCUUUGGGGUCUUAUUUAGGUUUCUCCUACCCGUAUCAUACAAAUAUUUACCAUAUUUUUUCUUACUCCAUUUUUUGACUUUUUUUGUUUUUUUGUUUUGAGAAUAACAAAAGUAAUAUUAAUUAAUCAUAAAAAUACUGAAGUGGCAUAUACAUUUCUGUAUUGGAUAUGUAUUUUUUAAUGUAUACCAAUGAGAUGGGGCAAUUCUGUGUUAUAUUAUAACACACAUUUUGGCCAUUAGGCAGAUGAAGCACCUUUUCAUUUGUAAAUACGUGAUUUGUGCUUUCUCUUUUGUACAGUUCCUAAUUAUAUUCUUGCCCAUUUCCCCACUGUGUUUUACAAGUUCUUAGUAAUUUGAAUGAACUACAUAUAUUCUAAAUAUUACCUUUUUGUUUUACAUACAUUGCAAAUAAUCCCUUCCAGUCUAUCACUUGCCUUUAACAUUAUUUAUCAAUAUUUUGCUUAAAGGGGAGGUUUUACUUUUUAGGUAGCAAAAUUUGUUCAUUUUUAACUUCACGAUAUUUGUAUUUCAUGUCGUAAGUAAAAGGCAUUACUUACUACAAGGAUAUAAAGAAUUACUUUCUUGUAGAAAUGAUUUUAUUUUCAUAUCAAAGUCUUUAUGUUAGUUGGAAUUUAUUAUGGGUUUUCUCAAAUUCCACAUAGCCAACUUUCUCAAAACAAUUCCAUUCUCUACUGAUUUCAAAUGCUCCAUUUGUCGUCUUUGAAAGUCUUAUCUAUAAGUCAUGUCUGACUGCCAUGAAUGUGUUUUGUAUCAGCACACUACCCUAGGAUUGUAAUAUCCCUGGUAACCAGUAGAGGCAGGCCUCCACUCCCUGUUAUUCUCUUUCUUUUCUUUUGGACAAAAAGUGGCUAUUUUUACAUGGGCUUAUUUUUUACAUAAACUUUGAAAUAUUUUAUCAAAUCACACACAAACUGCCAUGUGAUUAAAAUUUCAGCCUUUUAGAUAUAAACUUUGGGACAAAGGUCAUCUCUAUUUUUUAAGUUUUCUAAUUCAGGAUUUAGGUUUAUGAAAGUUUUCUUGACUACUUCAAGUGUAUCUUAUAUAUUUCUUACUUCAUUUCUAUAAAUUCGAUAGCUGUUUUUCCCAUUGUGAUUAUAAUCCUGUUUUCUUUUUUCUGUUUGUUUAUAGCAUAUAUCAAGGAAAGCCAUUGACUUUUUUCAGUAUUUACUUUGUAUCCAGUCAUGAUCAUCUUAGACUCCCUAUAUGAGUUUUAAAAUGUUUGAUCUUUUUCUUUGCUUUUAAAAUUUUAAGUGACAUAUGAUUUCUUUUUCGAGGUCUGGUAGAACACAGGCAUAAAAUGAAAUGAGUUUGAUGUUCUUCUCUGGGAUCUGUCUUAAAUUUGAUAAAAGUUUUCACAACAUUUUUGAGUAAAUUUGGAGGUUGCCAAAACAAACCUCAUUAUUUUAUUCUUCUAUUUAUAAGUCAAAGAGCACAAUUUUGUGUCAUCUGGUGGUUAUUCUUGGAAAUCUUGUGAUAGUACAGGCAUAAAAUUCAUUUGGGCAAUUUUAUUAUUGCAUAUUUAGGGCCAGAUAAAGCAAAGACAACAUCAAGAAUAGUAAUUCGAUGAAGCAAGACAUGAAUGUAAGUCAUAGUUGCAUAAACAAAAUACAAGUAUUCUAAACAAUAUUUAAAAAUAAUCAGUAGCUAUGAUCUUUAAAUACUCAUGUUAGAAUAUUGUUUAAAAAUUCAAAAACUUUGAAGAGUUUACCAGAAAUACAGAGAGUUCCCACACAAUUUUGUUGUUAAAAGGGAAUCUCUGUUAUCUGAGUACAGAAUAAUUUGGUCACAAUAUAAAAAAAUUCAAAGUAUAAUUUCAUUCUGUGUAUGUAAUCCAAAUAACAAUUUUUAUUGCAUUUGUAAGCUUUUUAAAAAAUGAGUAAAUCCACUAAUAUGGUGUAUAACAUAUUUCUUCUUUAACACACACAGACUUUAACAAUUAAUGGUAGUAUAUUUUUAUAUGUUUAGACAUGCAUAAGUUGAUAAGUAUGUAAAUGCAUAAUGAAAUUACAACCUUAAUUUAAAGAUAUAAUUAAUCAUAGUUGAAUUUAAAGUACAUAUGUUACAUGUACCUUUUUAUGUUAAAUUACUGUUUUUAGUAAAUUAACUUCCCUUAUCAUUAUCUUUGCCAGUAUACAUAUUAAUGUUUUCUAAUUACUAUACCAAAUAUAGUCUUUAUAUUUUUAUUUAUAUAUUUUUUAAUGUGGGCGUCAGAUUGAAUUAUUAUACCAAAUAUAGUCUUAAUUAUUAUUUUUAUUAAUUACCAGCUUUAAUUAAAAUUAUAAACUCUUGUUUUCUUCAGACACAGAGAAAACUAGAAAGAAGACAGGAAUCCAAAAACUGCCUAAUUUUUUUAAGUACACAUUUUAGAUUAUCUUUAUAGAUGUUAAAGUAAUAAAACAAAUGCCUAUAUUAAAUCCAAUGCAUUUGGACAUUCUCUUGGUUUGUAAAUCAUUUGAUAAUAUAUAAGGAUAGAGUAAAUUGGAACAUGUUUAUGACUAAAGUUUAAUAUUUGUGGUGAUUUUUAUGUAUAUUUUAAAAUGUGUUAACCUUUAUUUGAACUUUUUUUUUCCUUUAAGAAGUGGAGCCUAAAUCGUCUCCCCUUGAAUAUGGCCUAGAUUUAGGGCACAUUUCUAGUGAAUAGAAAAAAGUGGAUGUGACAGUUUGUGACUUAGGAGAUGAGGUAAGGAAAGGCACUACAGUUUUCUCCUCCCACCUUCCUCCGGAAUCAACUGCUCCAGGAAAAGCCAACUGCUAUGUGGUGAAGACUUUGAAGCAGCUUUGUGAGGAGGUCCAUGUAGCGAGGAACUGAGAGGCUUUUAGCUAACAACCAUAGGACUGAGUCAUCUUGGAAAUGGACCCUCCAGCCCCAGCCAAACUGUUGGAUGACUAUAGCCCUCCCUGGCUGACAUCUUGACUGCAACCUAAAAGGCUUUAUGAAAACUCCAGAAGUCAUCAGUACCCCGGGCAAGUGGAAAACAAAGAACAGCUGCCUUGGAAUGGGCAAGAAAAGCUGUUGAAUUUCAGCCCUUUCCCCAAGUGGGCACUGUUUGGUGUAACCAGGAGAAAAUGUUCAACUGUUGGCUUCUCCCUUGGGAGUGGAAGAGAAAAGGGGAACAGAAGUUUGACAAUCUGGCUUUUCAGGGUGCUACCUGAGUGCCUGAUUUCUGUCUUGCAUGACUUGGAGUACUAAAGGGGAAUCCACCUACUCUGAAUAAGUGGGGGCCACUGAGAAGAAAGGAGAUCUCAGCAGCCUGUUGCAGCACCAGAAAACCUGUGGGACUGCAUACAGACACCAAAGGAGCAAGAGAUUAUGAGCUUCUGAGAAAGAAACAAGCAAACAUUGCUGAUUGGAAAAGUAUGCGCACACGUCCAGAGAAGAUACAUCCCCAGGGAGGUUAGAGAAGCUUCCAGAAUAUAUAGCCUGGCUCAUUGGUGAAGGUCUUAUCUUGUAUGAAGCCAGUCAUGAGAAAAAUGGUUGUUUUUUUUUAAAUGACAAAUCUCAGCCAAAGCAUAACUUGGCAUACAAAGAACCAGGGGAUCAUGGCCCAAUCAAAGGAAAAGGAAUCUCUAGGAACUGGCCUUAAUAUCCAUCGAGUAGAUCUUGUGUUGAAUUAUAAAUCCCAAUGCUGGAGGUGGAUCCUGGCAGGAGGUGUUUGAACCAUGAGGGUGGAUCCCUCACAGCUUGGUGCUGUCUUCAUGAUAGUUCUUGUGAGAUCUGAUCAUUUAGAGACUGGAAACUUCCUGAGGCUUCUCCAGAAGCAGAUGCCAAUAUGCUUCCUGUAUCACUUGCAGAACCGUGAGCCAACUAAAUCUUUUUCUUACAAAUUACUCAGCUUCAGAUAUUUAAAGCCGUGCAAGAACAGCCUAACGCAGGUAGUAUGGCCAUUUUAUGAUAUUGAUUCUUUCAAUCCAUGACCUAUGGAAUGUUUUUCCUUUUUUGGGGGGGUGGGGGUUCAACUCUGAUUUCUUUCAGCAGUGUUUUGUAACUUUCCUCUUCAGUUUGCUGUAUGCCUAGUCACUUCAAUUUUGUGUAGCUGCUGUAAAUGGGAUAGUGUUCUUUAUUUAGCUCUCAGCCUGAAUAUUAUUGGUGUACAGAAAUGCUACUAAUUUUUGGCCGGGUGCGGUGGCUCAUGCCGGUAAUCCCAGCACUUUGGGAGGCCAAGCUAGGCAGAUCAUGAGGUCAGGAGAUGGAGACCGUCUUUGCUAACACGGUGAAACCCUGUCUGUACUAAAAAUUAAAAAAAUUAGUGGUGGUGGGCGCCUGUAGUCCCAGCUACUCGGGAGGCUGAGGCAGGAGAAUUGCUUGAACCCGGGAGGUGGAGGUUGCAGUGAGCCGAGAUUGCGCCACUGCACUCCAGCGUGGGCGACAGAGCAAGACUCUGUCUCAAAAAAAAAAAAAAAAAAAAGAAAUGCUACGAAUUUUUGUACAUUGAUUUUGUAUUCUGAAACUUUACUACAGUUGUUUAUCAGCUGAAAGCCUGAAAAUCAUAAUAACAAGUUCUGAAAUGGAAUCAGUAAUGAAAAUAGCAACCAAAACAGGCCCUGGACCAGAUGGAUUUACAGCCAAAUUCAAUCAGAUAUAAAAAGAGAACUAGUACCAAUCCUAAUGAAAGUAUACCAAAGAUAGUUGCAGAGGAGGCUCCUUGCUUUCUUUUUUUUAAUUAUUAUACUUUAAGUUCUGGGACAUGUGUAGAACAUGAAGGUUUGUUACAUAGGUAUACAUGCGUUAGGGUGGUUUGCUGCACCCAUCAACCCGUCAUCUACAUUAGGUAUUUCUCUUAAUGCUAUCCCUCCCCUAGCCCCUAGUCCCCACCCCCCAACAGGCCCUGGUGUGUGAUGUUCCUCCCUGUGUCCAUGUGUUCUCAUUGUUUAACUCCCAGUUAUGAGUGAGAACAUGGGUGUUUGGUUUUCUGUUCUUGUGUUAGUUUGCUGAGAAUGGUGGUUUCCAGUUUCAUCCGUGUCCCUGCAAAGGACAUGAACUCAUCCUUUUUUGUGGCUGCAUAGUAUUCCAUGGUGUAUAUAUGCCACAUUUUCUUUAUCCAGUCUAUCAUUGAUGGGCAUUUGGGUUUGUUCCAAGUCUUUCCUAUUGUGAACAGUGCUGCAGUAAACAUACGUGUGCAUAUAUCUUUAUAGUAGAAUGAUUUAUAAUCCUCUGGGUAUAUACCCAGUAAUGGGAUUGCUGGGUCAAAUGGUAUUUCUGGUUCUAGAUCCUUGAGGGAUCACCACACUGCCUUCCACAAUGGUUGAACUAAUUUACACUCCCACCAACGGUGUAAAAGUGUUCCUGUUUCUCCACAUCCUCUCCAGCAUCUGUUGUUUCCUGACUUUUUAAUGAUCACCAUUCUAACUGGCGCAAGAUGGUAUCUCACUGUGGUUUUGAUAUACAUUUCUCUAAUGACCAGUGAUGAUGAGCAUUUUUUCAUUUGUUUGUUGGCCACAUAAAUGUCUUCUUUUGAGAAGUGUCUGUUUAUAUCCUUUGUCCACUUUUUGAUGGGGUUGUUUGUUUUUUUCUUGUAAAUUUAAGUUCUUUGUAGAUUCUGGAUAUUAGGCCUUUGUCAGAUUGUAAAAAUUUUCUCCCAUUCUGUAGGUUGCCUGUUCACUCUGAUGCUAGUUUCUUUUGCUGUGCAGAAGCUCUUUAGUUUAAUUAGAUCCUAUUUGUCAAUUUUGGCUUUUGUUGCUAUUGCUUUUGGUGUUUUAGUCAUGAAGUCUUUGCCGAUGCCCAUGUCCUGAAUGGUAUUGCCUAGGUUUUCUUCUAGGGUUUUUAUGGUUUUAGGUUUUACAUUUAAGUCUUUAAUGUAUCUUGAGUUAAUUUUUGUAUAAAGUGUAAGGAAAGGGUCCAGUUUCAGUCUUCUGCAUAUGGCUAGCUGGUUUUCCCAACUUCAUUUAUUAAAGAGGGAGUACUUUCCUCAUUGCUUGUUUUUGUCAGGCUUGUCAAAGAUCAGAUGGUUGUAGAUGUGCGGCAUUAUUUCUGCAGCCUCUUUUCUGUUCCAUUGGUCUAUAUAUCUGUUUGGUACUAGUACCAUGCUGUUUUGGUUACUUUAGCCUUGUAGUACAGUUUGAAGUCAGGUAAUGUGAUGCUUCCAGCUUUGUUCUUUUGGCUUAGGAUUAUCUUCGCUAUACAGACACUUUUUUGGUUCCAUAUGAAAUUUAAAGUAGUUUUUUUCUAACUCUGUGAAGAAAGUCAGUGGUAGCUUGAUGGGGAUAGCACUGAAUCUAUAAAUUACUUGGGGCAGUAUGGCCAUUUUCACAAUAUUGAUUCUUCCUAUCCAUGAGCAUGGAAUGUUUUUCCAUUUGUUUGUGUCCUCUCUUAUUUCCUUGAGCAGUGGUUUGUAGUUCUCCUUGAAGAGGUCCUUCAUAUCCCUUUUAAAUUGGAUUUCUAGGUAUUUAAUUCUCUUUGUAGCAAUUGUGAAUGGGAAUCCACUCAUGAUUUGGCUCUCUGUUUGUCUAUUAUUGGUGUAUAGGAAUGCUUGUGAUUUUUGCACAUUGAUUUUGUAUCCUGAGACUUUGCUGAAGUUGCUUAUCAGCUUAAGGAGAUUUUGGGCUGAGACGAUGGGGUUUUCUAAAUAUACAAUCAUUUCAUCUGCAAAGAGAGACAAUUUGACUUCCUGCCUUCCUGUUUGAAUACCCUUAUUUCUUUCUCUUGCCUGAUAGCCCUGGCCCAAACUUCCAAUACUAUGUUGAAUAGGAAUGGUGAGAGAGGGCAUCUGUAAAGGAGGCUCCUUUCUAACUCAUCUUAUGAAGCCAGCAUCAGCCUGAUAACAAAAUCUGACAGAUACAAUGAGAAAAGAAAACAUCCAGCCAGUAUGCCUGAUGAACAUAGAUGCAGAAAUGUUCAAUAGAAUACUAGAAAGCUGAAUCCAGCAGCAUAUCAAAAAGUUAAUUCACCAUGACCAAGUAGGCUUUAUUAUUGAGAUCCAAGGCUCAUUCAGCGUAUGCAAAUCACUGAAUGUGAUUUACCACAUAGACAGGUUUAAAAGCAAAAUCCAUAGGAUCAUAUCAAUAGAUAAGAAAAAAGCUUUUGAUGAAAUCCAACCUCCGUUCAUGAUAAAAAACCCUCAACAGACUAGGCAUCAAAGGAAUACACCUCAAAAUAAUUAGAGCCAUCUACGUCAAACUCAGACCAAACAUCAUAAUGAAUACGCAAAAUUUGAAAGUAUUUCCCUUGAGAGCCAGAACAAGAAAAGAAUGCUCACUCUCAUUACUCUCAUUUAACAUAGUACAAGAAGUCCUAACCAGAGCAAUCAGGCAAGAAAAGAAAUAAAAGACAUCCAAAUAGGAAAAGAAGUCAAACUAUCUCUCUUUGCUGAUGAUAUGAUUGUAUACCUGAAAAACCCUAAAAAUUUCACUCAUAUGUUCCUGCAUACUGUCAGUUUUGUCCAUUAAUAUUUAUAGCAUAUUAACUGCAGUUGUUUUAAAUUCUCAGUCUUAUAAUUCUUCAACCUGAUUGAUUGAUUGGUUGGUUUUUGCCUUUUAGUAUGCCUUGCAAUUUUUGCUUGAUGCACUGUGUGUAGCAAACUGCUGUAAACAGGGCUUUGGUAAUGUGGUGAUAAGGUGUGGGGGGUAGGAAUUGUUCUAUAGUCCUGUGGUUAGAUUUCAUUAUUUUGGUGAACCUGUGCCUCUGGACUGUGAACUUCACGAGUACUUUUUGUAACCCACACCCUCUUUUUAGGUGAAACAUGAUGAGUUGAGGGGGCUGGAGUUAGAUAUUUUUCUGCAGUCACCUAGGAUGCUAAAUUUGGUUGGAGUUGGGUAUUGCCUUCAAUUUAGACCAGUUGAUUCCCAUAAAACCCCAGCAAGUUAGGCUCUGGUUACAUAGCUUCUCCUUAGAGUACAAUAUGCUAUGAAGAACAGAAUGCUCUGUUGUAUUUCAAAAUUGUUUCUCCAUCCCCUGCCCUUCCACUACUUUCCAAAAGCAGAAGGGUGAGUUUUCUCUGAAAUUCACUCAGACAGCCUGGGGGAACUCUAGACAAUAAAACACACAAAAGUAUGUGUCUGUGGGUGAGAGGGGUGCAGGGGAGCUGAUUUUCAAGUCCGCCUGAAGCAUUUACUCUCAGACUUGUCCUCACUGAGCCAUCAGCAAUUCAACAAUUACAGUUCAGGUUUUUCUGUACCAGAGCCUGUUCCCACAGAGGCUUCUGCUCCUGUAAGAUCUGGUUUUUUUGUAUCUGCCUCUCUGUCGCUCCAAUUUUGGGAGCAUGGGUUUAUCUUGUACCUCUUCUUUCUUGAUGAUCUAAGAAGUGUUAGAAUUGUUUAUUUUUCAUUUUGUUCUCUUUUUACUUGCUGUUCAGGAGUGGUGACUUCUGAGCUUUUUAUCUGCUGCUUUGGAAACUGGGAGUUCCCUGUUACUUGUUUUCUGCCACAAUUUUUUAAAAGGUUUUUGUUGGUAAACCGUACAGGAUAGUUGUUAUCUCUGCUUCUGAAAGUCAACCUGUAUUUUGGGCUUCUUCUACAACCUUCGCAGUCUCUGGAUUGCAUGCUAGAAGCUGGCUCACCACCACCAAGUUCUUCUAAACUAAUCACUUGGGAAGGGAGAAAGACGGUGCAGAAGGAAAGUAGCUUAUUCCUAAGAAAAUGGCACAGAAUUUCCUUACAUGUUUUUCACUGACAUCUUACUGGACACAAUUUAAUGGCCUCACAUUACUCCAAGGGAGGCUAGGGCAUUUGGAUUCUAUCUUGGAGGCCAUGUGCCCAGCAAAAAAGAUAAUAGAUAUUAGAGGACAAAUAGCAUUCUCUGCCAUAAUCUGAUUCAGAUUUUGACCAAUUUGGUUGACCAAAAAGUAAAGAAAUUAGCAGAAUUUAUGUAUCCACUAAGUUCUUACUGUGUAUUAUACAAUUUUAGGCUUUGGGGUGCAAUAAUAUGAUAGCAUUAGGUAGUAGAACUUUAAAUACCUCAAAUAGAAAAUAUGGAUUUUAUUCAACUAUACAUGGGAACAUUUACAAAAAUGAUCAUGUAUUAGACACAAAUAAAAGUUUAACAUUUUAAAAAGCUGAGUGUAUAGUCCAUAUUCUUUAAUUACAUUCCAACAAAAAUAGAAGUAAAUAUGUAAAAGAUAACAAAAACAUGUUAGAAGUUAAGCACAUUUUUGAAAAAAGAGAAAAUAAAAAAUACGUCAUGGAGAAACCGGUUUAAAAGGACCCUUCUUGGCAAGGCUAAAGAGAAACAGAGUGAUAGUCUUUUAUUUAAAGCUGAAGUACUCAGAUUUAAACCCAGUAUUUCUGUUAAGAAAUAAGAAAAAGAAAAUAAAAACACUUGUCUUAAAAUAUUUUAAAAUGUUAUUUACAGUGAAAAACUGAGGAAAUAUAAAACCAAUAUAAGAAAUAAAUAUAACCAAAAGUGAAAUUUUGGAAAUACAAGUGAAAUAAAUUGCUCUCAAAUUUCAGUAAGUGAAAAAAAAAGCCAAGUGAAACUACAAUAUUAGUAAAGAAAAAGAACCACAACUACAGAAGAGAUUGAAAAAAGAAUAAAUACAUCAUGCAAUUUUUAAGAAUACAUCACGCAAUUUUUAAGAAUACAUCAUGCAAUUUUUACCAAUCAAUUUAAGGACCAAGAAGAGAGAGUAUUUUUGAAUGAAAUUUAAAACAGAUAAAAAAUAACUCCAGGAGUGUUAAGCUUGAAUAGAUGAAUUAUCAUAUCAGAAAGGUGAGUAUCAGCUACAGUAAUACAGGCAAUAAGAUUAUUUUCAUAGCUGAGUUCUAGCUAACCUUUACAGAACAUAUCAUUAAAUUUUAAUGGGUUUUAAAAUAAUUCCAGACCACAGGGCACCAAAAUGGAACUCUCAAUGGUUCAUUUUUAUUAAUUUAGCAAAGCAUUAAUACUAAACCCUCAUGGUGCAAAAUAUUACAUAUGGAUGGAAAUGGAAAUAUUACAUAUAAAUGGUGCAAAAUAUUACAUAUGAAUGGAAAUGGAAAAACAUCUGGAUAAUGUAUUUGCAAAGACAAGUCACCAAACAUAAGAAAAAUAUAACCUAAGCAAAUAAAUGCAAUAGUAAAAGAGAUUCAGUCUCAGAAAACUCAAUGGUGCAAUCCCCAUUUUAAAAGAGAAAAGCAUUGCAAUCAUCUCAAUAGAUGAUGAAAGAAAAAUAAUUGAUAGAUAUUUCUAACAAAAAGUAUACUAGAAAUGGAAUGAAAUGACUUAAACACUUUUCAAAAAAUGAAUAAACAAUGUCAUUCUACAAUGGCAAAAUACUAGUACCAUUUCCAUUUAUAUUGGGAACCACAAGCAUACUCACUAUUAAUAUGCAAGAGUAAAGAAAUAUAAAUAAAUAAUAAUAUAAAGGAAAUUGAAGUAAAUGGUGUAUAAGCUUGAAAUGUGAUAAAACCGUCUUCUUUGUAAUCAUAUUAUUCACUUAGAAAACUCGUGACCAAUGGAGUCAGGCAGAAGGGUGGACCACGCACCCGCUGCCCAGCCCUUUCUAUGUCCUGAAUCUUGUGAGCUGCUGCUGGUGGAGAAGGCACUCCCCAAACUCUCCCAGCUCAGGGCAAAUCUCUUCUUGCCUGGUUGCCAGCCUGUGGCUGCCAUGGGUGUGGACCCUAGACAUUGGAGGGACAGCCCCUCCCCACUUUUCUGUGGUGGCCCUUGGCUCUUGCUGCUGCCACUUCUGCUUUCUGGGACUAGGACUCGGGUUUAUGCUGUGCCUUACUCCAUCCCACUCCCUAGUGAACAGCAUUGGAUUUGUUUGUAUGGACAACAAGCUGUGGCAUAGUCAUUAACGCCUGUGUUGGGGAAACAGCACACAAGCAUUCAAUGGCAAACACUUCAUCAUAUCAAAGAUGGAGAACUCUUGUAGUCAUUUGUCAUGUCUUCUGCAGACAAAAGAUACCAAAAAGUUGCAAAGAACUGCCCAUCUUGUUGAUAAGCCCACUAAUAAGCCAAAAAUCUGUCAACAUCAACCACAGCAUGUCCAAAUAUGCCCCAUUUGACUGCUAAGGUUGAGGGCAAAGGAAAUGGAAUCAAGACAGUUACAGUCAACAUAGUUGACAUUGCAAAGGGCCCAAUUGGCUUCCUAUGCAUUUUGUUUGUAAGCUAGAAGCACCACCCCAGUGAUGGCAAGACAGAGUUUUGGUCUUGUUGCCCAGGCUGGAGUGCAGUGGAGCGAUCUUGGCUCACCACAACCUCUGCCUCCCAGGUUCAAGCAAUUCUCCUGCCUUAGCCUUCCUAAGUAGCUGGGAUUACAGGCAUGUGCCACCACGCCUGGCUAAUUUUGUAUUUUUAGUAGAGAUGGGGUUUCUCCACGUUGGUCAGGCUGGUCUUGAACUCCCAACCUCAGAUGAUCUGCCCAGCUCGGCCUUCCAAAGUGCUGGGAUUACAGGCGUGAGCCAUCUUGCCCAGCUGACUUUUUCAUAUUAAAUAUUUAGGCCUAAAUGGAUUUAAGUUUUGGAAGAUGAAUUCUCUUGGGGAAGGGAACAGGAACAAUUCUGGUGUUCAUAUAAAAAAGAGAGGGAAAGGACAGCCCUGCCCACUCUUCCAAAGGUCUUGAGGGUUGAGUUCACUUUCCCCUGAGCUCAGCUCACUCACUCAGACCUGCUGGAAUAUGGACACAGAUGAAGGAGCCAAGGCUGUUCACCAUUUAAAGCAUGCUGAUAUCUCAACUCCCUAUGGUUUUCCUUCUACCAUUUCUUUCCUUACAUAGGAGUAGAGUGAUGCAGCUCUACUUGCGUAAACCAUCACCUCCCACCCUCUUUUCCAUCAAAGCUUUUGUGCUCAGGUUUAUACAUAGUGUGUGCUCCCAGUCUCCAAAUAGACUGAAGUAGCCAUUCUUGUGCUCACUUGGGUUAGAGAUUGACCAGAAGUUUCCAAACUCCCUGUGAGAAGCUGUGUCCAUAAGAUAGAUGUCUUAGUACACCAAGGUCUUUCCACAGCCUCUCUGGGUCUGUUUUUUUGGAUAGGUAUUACAUCUGAUGAAAGGCGAGGAGUGAAAAAGAGUGACAAUGAAUUUAAGAAUAAUUUUUUCUUCACUUUAUGUUUUUAUGGAUCCAAGGCAUGCCCCAGCCAAGACGGCACAUCAGUUGGGGCAUUCAGGAUUUCAGUACUCCAAUGGGUGUUCCAGCAGGGGGCGCCCAACAACCACUAUGAAGUGAGCUCUUAGCAUCCUGUGCUGUGACCCAGUGGCCAGGAGGAGACUAAGAAACCUGCCUCUUCUGCCUGCAUGGUGCACAUGCAUUUUGGUGCAUUUAGGAGGACUGUUGUUUGGUUUCUGGUGCCCUCUGUUGGACCUCCUGCUGAACCGCUGAAAUUCUCAAAGCCCACGUGUUCCUGCUCAUCUGGCUGUGACAUGGCUUGGAGACAAGGUGGAAUUCAAAAGGAAUCCAUUUCAAUCAUGCCUGAAUGACAGCACCUGCUCCAACUCUCCUUAGAACAGAGAAGAAAACCUGGAAGACACGAGCCACUUAUUUCCACCAUCAGAUUCUUCUGCAGAUCUUCACCCUGUAGGACACAGAUGAUUACAGUGCUAUUAGGGAUAUGAUCCAAUGAGAUAAAUCACUAGGCUGUAUCACAAUCACAACUUGAGCAGAAGAUGAAUGUGGAAAGUCUUCUCACUUGUCUCUACUUGGGAACUGCUAUAUAGAAGUAUGCCCAAGUAUGUCCAAGGAAUCAGUAAGUACCUGAGAUAAUGAAAAACAGCCAGGUGUGCCUUGGAACUUGACAGAGGGAAAACAUAUAUGUACUUUUCUCUCAUUUAACGUGCCAAAGAAAAAUCAGAAAAUAAAGAAGAAAUGGUCAUGACCCUUUCUAAUCAAUGCAGCAAUCUGCAUUCAUAUCAUUGUACUUGUAAAAUAUAUAAAACUAAAUCCUGGGAAUAUAUGUAAAUAUUUUGUGCAUCUUCAAUUUCCAAAAAAAUUACAGUUGAGGACAUGAUCUAUGUUUCUUAAAUAACCUUAUGAUGUAUAUUUUCCUCUCCCUUUUGAAACAUUCAGGGAAUAUUUGUUGUGUCUAUUAUUUUGAAGGAAAUUUUGCACUCAAACUUGAGUAUACUUUGUAACAGACUUUUAUGCAUUAAUAUAAAGUUAGCUGCUGCAACACAUCUGAACUAUCUGAACAUCAUACAAAAGUUAUUGCUGCAUAUGCCCCUGCAACACAGGCUUUCAAAUAACAUGUGACUCUGCUUUUCUGUUUUCUUCCAGAAAGAGAUUCAAAGACCCAGGUAUCUUCCAUUGGUGGCUUUCUCACUGCCAACAUGUGUCUUCAAAUCUGGCUGUGGUUCUUGGUCUCAUUCUGCGAAGUUGUAAAGAGAAAAAUGUACAAAGUCCCAUGGAAGAUGUUUUCACAGGCCAGGCCUGUUCCAAGUGAGUGUCGCUUCCACCCACAUUAACUUGGCCAGAACUCCUUCCUAUGGCCACACCUUUGGACACAGAGGCUGGGAAGGGAGAAUAACUGGUACCAGUGGGAAGAUGAGAUGAGUCUGGUGGAUAAGAAUAACAGUAUACUUAACACUGUGUGUAAAAAUUCUAUUUGUACAACCAACAGCCAGUUUUUUUGCUUGCAUACAUUUUAUGCAAGAAAAAUAUUACUCAAAAUCAGAUUCCACAAAUAAAACCUGGAAAAUAUACCUGAAGGAAGAGGGCAAGAAUAUCGAUCAAUCAGGCUUACAGCAUUAUCAACCUUUUGAAAGUGAUUUCCUGUUGAAUCCCAAGAGUACCGAUAAAAGUUGGAAAAUAGGCAAGAUUACUCUUCUCUAAAAAUGUUAACUGUUAGAAAGAAGGUACUUGAUAGAUUUAGGAAUAUUUAGGCAUGGACUGAUACUGGUGCCAACACCCAUUCACCAUGAGAGACACUCGGGCACCCAGGGUGGUCUAUAUUAUUAUUCACUCAGCAUGCCCAGAGGCUGGCAUGGAACUGACACUUUCCUGGACUUUCAGCACACUGUAACAUUCUGUAGUUUAUGUGAGAUCAUUGUGUGGACAUACAGAUUAUAUGGUCUAGUUUCACAUAAAUACUUAUAAUAUAGACAAGUGACUGGAAAAAAAAAACUGCCAAAAAAUAACAGCUGAAGUGAAUUUUAAUUGUUUACCAUGUGAUCAAGCAAAUGGGCAAAGAGAUGCUUGCACUAUAAAUUGGCUUUUUUUCCCCUUUUGUGGAGAAUGGGGUCUCGCUAUAUUGCCAAGGCAGGUCUCAAACUCCUGGACUCAAGCUAUCUUCCCGCGUCUGCCUCCCUAAGAGUUGGGAUUACAGGUGUGAGCCACCAUGCCCAGCUUGCACUAUAAAUUGGAGCUCUCCAUGGCUGUUGAAGCAAUGACUACCUAAUCAGAUCUGAAAGAAGGUAGCAAACAAAAUUAUAAAGAUGAUUAUUUAAAAUGUGAAAUUUAUGAAUUUUUCUACAUUCUUUCUUUAUUGCAAAAUUCAAGUUUGUCUCAAAGAUAAAUGAAAUAUUUUCUCAUGUACAAAUGUGAAAAAGAUUGUUGAUCUUUUCUGUGGUGACAGUGGUUGUUAGUAAUAUGCUACCAAACAGCUGGAAAAUAAAAACACAAAUCAUUUCUUCAAAAUAAAGUUGAUGUUUUAACAAGAAGAAAAGUGGAUUUCCAAAAGACAUCAUCUGCUACGAGGUAUCAGAUGUUUAUGAAAAUAUUCUUUCUAUCAUGGAAUUUGUUGACAAAAGUGAUUGUGUCACCAAUAAACUGCUCAUAUUUACUUAUA